UACGAAGGGGGCUAGCGUUGCUCGGAAUUACUGGGCGUAAAGCGCACGUAGGCGGUCUUUUAAGUCGGGGGUGAAAUCCUGGAGCUCAACUCCAGAACUGCCUUCGAUACUGGAAGACUUGAGUCCGGGAGAGGUGAGUGGAACUGCGAGUGUAGAGGUGAAAUUCGUAGAUAUUCGGAAGAACACCAGUGGCGAAGGCGACUCACUGGACACGUAUUGACGCUGAGGUGCGAAAGCGUGGGGAGCAAACAGGG
rnacentral:rRNA from 1 species